AUGGGCAGCCAAACCAUCCUGAAUGCACCCCAUCUUGUCUGAUCUUGGAAGCUAGGCAGGGUCAGGUCUGGUUAGUACUUGGAUAGGAGAAAGCCUUUAGUCAGUAACCACUCUGUUCCAGCCAAUU
ensembl:rRNA 5S_rRNA 5S ribosomal RNA